GCGGUCAUAGCAUUGCCGGGUGACCUUAUAUGAUUACACUGCCACACACUUAAAGGGCACUGCCAAGGGGUGAAUCGCAGCCAUCGUCAGGCAGUACAACCCACCGUCGGGCGGUGGACUCGUCAGUGGAAUUUAAAGGUAAUGCUUAAGCGACAGUGCUGAGGGGUGGAUUAGGUGUCAUGCCUACCGUCCGGCGGUGUUAACCACCACCGGGCAGUGUAAUUAUGGGCCUG
rnacentral:lncRNA from 1 species